rnacentral:rRNA from 1 species
AUUGAACGCUGGCGGCAGGCCUAACACAUGCAAGUCGAGCGAGCGGCGGACGGGUGAGUAAUGUCUGGGAAACUGCCUGAUGGAGGGGGAUAACUACUGGAAAAGGUAGCUAAUACCGCAUACCAUCAGAUGGGCCCAGAGGGGAUUAGCUAGUAGGGGGGGUAACGGCUCACCUAGGCGACGAUCCCUAGCUGGUCUGAGAGGAUGACCAGCCAAACUGGAACUGAGAAACGGCCCAGGUGCCUACGUGAGGAAGCAGGGGGGAAUAUUGCACAAUGGGCGCAAGCCUGAUGCAGCCAUGCCGCGUGUGUGAAGAAGGCCUUCGGGUUGUAAAGCACGUUCAGCGGGGAGGCGUUACCCGCAGAAGAAGCACCGGCUAACUCCGUGCCAGCAGCCGCGGUAAUAC